CCGUGAUCUGGAUUGAAAAAGGCCACAGAGAGAGAGAGUAAGAAGUCCUACCACUGAAAGGAUGUGCGGGUAGAAAUGAGCAAUUGCAACUAGAAGAGCCUGUGUGCCCACAAUCAAGGGUAAGGAGGAGUGUCAUGGAGCAGGGGAGUGUGAUUUGGUGGGGAGGAAGAAAGGUAGAAGAGAGAAGAAAUUUCUUGGGGCUUCUGAGAUCCACCUGAUAAUAUUUGACACUGUCUUCAGGCAACAGCUCUCUACUGCCCUGAGAAUGACAUCCCCACUGUUCACCAUGGCCUUAAAUCCCCUGCGAAUUCCACCUCAUCCUCUGCCACUUCCCGUCACUGCUCUGAAGAUGCCCUGAUCUUGUUUCAGUCCCUUGGAUGUACCCAGCUCUUCUCCAUCUUUGCAUGUGUCAUAGCCUCUUCCUGGAAAACCCUUCCUGCUGCUCAUCCCAGAACUGACUCUCCAUGUAUUUACUCUUAUUUUGAGAGAAGGGGGCAUUUCCACCACCAGAAGGGAACUUGCUGUCUUGGUAGCCAUUGUCCCCUGACACCUGGCACAUCUACUCUAUACAGUCACCAUUCAAGUGGAUGUUGAAUGAGUACACUUGUUUCACAGUUUGGUUGGGUAAGCCCCAAAGCUUGGUUCCCGGUAGGAUCAGGCUUUAUGAGUGGGCUGAGUUUCUAUAAAAGUCUCCCUACCAGUUUCCAAUCUUGGUGAAACUAUGUCUGUGGGCACAAAUGAGAAAACUUGCCAUUCGUAUCACCGGUUACCCAGCUGUGGA
rnacentral:lncRNA from 1 species